CACGUAGGGGGCGAGCGUUGUCCGGAUUUAUUGGGCGUAAAGAGCUCGUAGGCGGCUCAGUAAGUCAGGUGUGAAAACUCCAGGCUCAACCUGGAGACGCCACUUGAUACUGCUGUGGCUAGAGUCCGGUAGGGGAGCAUGGAAUUCCUGGUGUAGCGGUGAAAUGCGCAGAUAUCGGGAGGAACACCAGUAGCGAAGGCGGCUCGCUGGGCCAUUCCUGACGCUGAGACGCGAAAGCUAGGGGAGCGAACAGG
rnacentral:rRNA from 1 species